rnacentral:lncRNA from 1 species
GCCCGUCCCCAUCUGCGGGCUUUCCAAGGUGCUGUGCUGGGGUUUGCCGAGGCCCGGGUCAACCAGCCGACGGUGGCGGAACGGCGGGCAGGUCGGCGGAGUUAGAUGGCCGCAAAGGUGGGCAGGCUCGGUGUGAUAAGGUUCCAACUGGGUCUGAUCGCUUCCGUCCGCGAGCGCCGGGUCCACCAAAUGUCGGCGGCGAGCGCUGGCUUUGAUGGUUAACUUGGGAUUUCUAAGGUAUUCUGUGGACAGUCGAGGGCUGGAAAAAAAACAGAAACAUGAAUUUGAUUGGUUUCACAAGAGACAUGGCAGACCAAAGAACAUACGAUGAGUACUUUGCUAAAUGCCCUGUUUAUUCUCCCAACCGGGCUCAUAAAAGUACGGACACAUUUGGUGGGUUGAGAGAUCUCUAUGUAGUCGUGACCCUGUAAUUAUACUUGACGAGAGCGGUGAUGACAGACAGGCGGCACAGAAAUCUGCCCUUCUUUGGUGCCAAUUGAGCAUGGUGACAACAGAUUAAAAAUGGCCUAUGUCUCAAGUUGAAGGUCCUGUUUUUCUGCUCUGGUC